UACGUAGGGUGCAAGCGUUGUCCGGAAUUAUUGGGCGUAAAGGGCGCGUAGGCGGUCGUGACAAGUCACUUGUGAAAUCUCCGGGCUUAACUCGGAACGGUCAAGUGAUACUGUCGGACUAGAGUACAGAAGGGGCAACUGGAAUUCUCGGUGUAGCGGUGAAAUGCGUAGAUAUCGAGAGGAACACCUGCGGCGAAGGCGGGUUGCUGGGCUGAUACUGACGCUGAGGCGCGAAAGCCAGGGGAGCGAACAGG
rnacentral:rRNA from 1 species